CUCCCUGUGGCGGCUGAACUUCUCACGCAAGAGUGAGAGCGAGAAGAUAGGCCCAGAGCUGCGCACAGCCUCAGAACCAGAUGGUCUGUUAGCCCCGAUCUGAGCCAGGACCCCCAGACCCCACCCAUCCGGCCUCCCCGCCUCUACUCUUCCUCGCCGCAGUCGAGGGGCCAGGAAGAUGGACGAGAGGAAGAGGGCGCCCGGGACCUCAGCUAAGGUUUAGGACGAGGAAGCCUGUGUGCAGGAUGAAGACGGACCUUUGGUCAAGCGAUACAGUCAGCUGAAGUGGUGACCCUACCAGGAAAGAUACAGUUGACCGUUAUUUCACCAGCUGUGUGCCAGGCUCUAUAUACUAGACAUCGGGGAUUCAGCAGUGAGCAAGACAGAGGCCCACAGAGCUCAGAAUGCUGUGGGAGCCAGGUAGGAUCACAUGGAAGGGUCAGAGUGGAACUGAGAGAGGCCAUGGGAGGCAGCAGAGUCCAUGGGAAACUGCAGGGAAGGAUCCCUGGGAGAAGAAAUGGCAAUGUUGGGACUUCCCUCGUGAUCCAGUGCUUAAAGACUCCAUGCUCCCAAUGCAGGGGGCCUGGAUUCAAUCCCUGGUCAGGAAACUAGAUCCUUCAUGACACAACUGAAGAUCCCACAUGCAGAAAUGAAGAUGCCACCUGACGCAACCAAGACCCAGCACAGCCAAAUAAAAAAAUUAAAAAAA
ensembl:lncRNA